rnacentral:rRNA from 1 species
UACAGAGGGUGCGAGCGUUAAUCGGAAUUACUGGGCGUAAAGCGUGCGUAGACGGCUAUCUAAGUCGGGUGUGAAAGCCCCGGGCUCAACCUGGGAAUUGCAUUCGAGACUGAAUAGCUAGGGUGCGGUAGAGGGAAGCGGAAUUUCCGGUGUAGCGGUGAAAUGCGUAGAGAUCGGGAGGAACACCGGCGGCGAAGGCGGCUGCCUGGACCAGUCCUGACGCUGAGGCGCGAAAGCUAGGGGAGCAAACAGG